AUGUCGGCGAUGCCGAACACGCCGUACUGCGGGGCCAGCCAGAAGACGGACAUGGGCAGCGGCUGCAGCAUCGGGAACGCGUCCAGCAUGCCGUGCCGGACGGCCACCUUCUUGCGGUGCAUCUCCACGACGGCGGCGAUGCACAUGGAGACGACGGAGAGCACGAGGCCGACGCCGACGCGCUGCAGGUAG
rnacentral:rRNA from 1 species